rnacentral:rRNA from 1 species
GACGAACGCUGGCGGCGUGCUUAACACAUGCAAGUCGAACGGAAAGGCCCUGCUUUUGUGGGGUGCUCGAGUGGCGAACGGGUGAGUAACACGUGAGUAACCUGCCCUUGACUUUGGGAUAACUUCAGGAAACUGGGGCUAAUACCGGAUAGGAGUUCCUGCUGCAUGGGGGGGGUUGGAAAGUUUCGGCGGUGGGGGAUGGACUCGCGGCUUAUCAGCUUGUUGGUGGGGUAGUGGCUUACCAAGGCUUUGACGGGUAGCCGGCCUGAGAGGGUGACCGGCCACAUUGGGACUGAGAUACGGCCCAGACUCCUACGGGAGGCAGCAGUGGGGAAUAUUGCACAAUGGGCGGAAGCCUGAUGCAGCAACGCCGCGUGCGGGAUGACGGCCUUCGGGUUGUAAACCGCUUUCGCCUGUGACGAAGCGUGAGUGACGGUAAUGGGUAAAGAAGCACCGGCUAACUACGUG